GGCUCGAUUCCCACUGCGAUCGUGUAGAAUCUUGUACCCGCGAUUCAAUUAUCAGGGGUGUUUUCCUGAUCACACUUUUUAUGUUCCAAAAAUGGGAGGAGGAAAGGGUCAUAAAGAAAAUAA